rnacentral:misc_RNA from 1 species
GCAAACUUGGUCAUUUAGAGGAAGUAAAAGUCGUAACAAGGUUUCCGUAGGUGAACCUGCGGAAGGAUCAUUAUUGAAUAAAAGUGUGGUUUGGGGGUUGUCGCUGGCAUCCUUGGAUGCACUUGCACGCUCCUUGCCAUUCUGUCAUUCAUUCACCUCUUCCACCUGUGCAUUCUCAUGUAGGCCAGAUAGCCAUCGGUGGCGUUCCUUUGGGACGCUUCUUUGGACUUGCUGUUGCUGCUCCACGUUGUGACAGCUCCUCCUGUAGUGUUGUGGAUGGAUGGUCUGGUCUAUGCGCUUUAUCAAACACCUCUUUAUGUUUACGGUUUGUGGGCUUAGUAAAGCAUGUAUGCAUGCACAACUUUCAACAACGGAUCUCUUGGCUCUCGCAUCGAUGAAGAACGCAGC